ACACCGUUGGUGAAGUGGUUAUCAACGUUUCUCCACUUAGAGUUCAAGCAAGCGGCUCGGGUUCGAUUCCCAAACGGUGUA